GGCUUGUUGGUCUAGGGGUAUGAUUCUCGCUUUGGGUGCGAGAGCUCCCGGGUUCAAAUCCCAGACGAGCCC
rfam:Xenopus tropicalis strain Nigerian Chr03_contig_3515, whole genome shotgun sequence.